UUGAAGAUUCACUUACACUCUAUGAACUUUAUCUUUUCGAGUGGAUCAAUGAGUGUCCAUACAUCGUUGAUCAUUAUAGACUCCAUUUCGGACUUUAUGGCUCCAAGCCACUAAUCGGAAUUGAACCUCUGCAUAGCAUCCAUGUAGGUGAUCGGAUCUUUAUUAUUCUCAUCGAGUUCAAUAGGAUCACAUCUCGAAACUAGAAACCAAAGUAUCUAUCCGAUGGAUGCGAUACUCUAUCGGAUCUCCUUAAUGA
rnacentral:lncRNA from 1 species